GAUGAACGCUGACAGAAUGCUUAACACAUGCAAGUCUUUGGCGAAGCUGUGCUUGCACCGCCUAGCCAAGGCGGACGGGUGAGUAACGCGUCAGGAACUUGCCCUGCAGUCAGGGAUAACAGACGGAAACGACUGAUAAGACCUGGUAAAGUCAGGCGGACUCAUGUCCAGCCUGAUGAAAAGAGAUGCUGCAGGAGAGCCUUGCGUCCUAUUAGCUUGUUGGUGGGGUAACGGCCCACCAAGGCGAUGAUAGGUAGCCGGCCUGAGAGGGUGGACGGCCACAAGGGGACUGAGAUACGGCCCUUACUCCUACGGGAGGCAGCAGUGGGGAAUAUUGGACAAUGGGGGCAGCCCUGAUCCAGCAAUUCUGUGUGCACGAUGAAGGUUUUCGGAUUGUAAAGUGCUUUCAGCAGGGAAGAAAAAAAUGACGGUACCUGCAGAAGAAGCGACGGCUAAAUACGUG
rnacentral:rRNA from 1 species